GAGGCAGGAGUAAUAUGCUCCCGCCAGUUUAGAAAUGCAGAUGUGAGCCGUUGCGCCAUCGAUUGUGGUAAAGGGCAAGUGUAGUGAAGUGUCAUUCAUAAUACAGAUGCGCGGCAAGAACGUUAAUUGUCUUUGGAAAGCUUAUAAGAAACAAGUAUCACAUUUCAAAUUGCAAUUUUUAAAAGAAUAACUACAAUAAUUACUCAGUAGCAAUGAUCAAAACCGGGCAGUACGG